GAAAAUAGUUAUGUUUUAUAUACAGAAACCAUGAUGCUUUGAGGAUUCUUUGAUUAACUGAAUUAUUUGAAAUAGAAUCGCUUUGUAUCAAUGAAAAGGUCUUCAUUGUCACUUUUGAUCAAUUUACUGGCUGGAAGUGCAAACAAUGUGACUGAGAAGUAAAAAUAAGUAAAUAUAAUAAAUAUAAAUCUUUUUGCUUUGUGGUAAGAAGUAAGUCAAUAUAACAGAUAUAAAUCUUUUUCCGUUGUGGUAAGAAGCAUUGUGAUAAUUAAAAUGCGGUAAUAAGGUAAUUAUGAAAACAUGCAAAAUAUGCCCCAGACAUGUUCUCAGUUGAUUCACCUGUUAACAAAUACUCAAAGGUGGUUUACUUCAGUGUAAAUGUGUUGCGCUUUCAUAGAUGAGGACAUGAAAAAAAUAAGAAACUGUAAGGAAAUAACUCAUGGUACAUAGGCUAAAAACUAUGCAGUAAAUCCAUUGAAAGCGUAAGCCUAUGACGCAGAUCUUAUUACAGAGUGACAGCGGUCUGCUGCCGCAAUAAUGUAACCGAGCCAGUAUUCAGCUCCACCCUGCCCAGUUUGGAGAUCCCCACACGGUCAAACGAUCCCCAUCUGGAACAACUGAAACCCACAGGCCUUUUUACCAAGCUAAAGCAAAUCAUGAGGAAGUCCUUGGACUCGACCAGCUGUCCACAGCCCCAAUCUCACUGUCAUCAUUAGUCAACUGACGAAAACACCACUGUCUCCAGUUCUGACUCUGUAAUCCCAGGGAUCAGGGCUACAGCGCGGUGUAACUUGAAUCUGCUGCUCGGGAUCACAAACGGAGCAAAGGGCCAAUAACACUGAUAAUAUAACGAAAUAUUAGUCUGCGUUUUGAGACUAAUGCAGAGGAAGAUGGAGGAAGGGAGAAGAUGGUUGUCAGAAAAAAUACACUUAAGUCCAAACAGCUGAUAAAAACAUUACAAUAAUCCAGCUCUAAUCCAUCAAACAAGAUGCGUUUAUAAGAAAUGAAUCCAUCACUAUGGCUUUUUUUAACUUAAGACCAUUGCUUCUAGCUAAAAUUUAAGUCUGUAAUCCAUAAAAAUGUUUUCUUCAGUGAACAAAUCGCUUCAUCUGAAUCAGGGAAAUAUGCAGAUCAAGCACCAUUCAGAAGCAAAAACAGUUCUAAACAAAUAUGUUGAUGGAUCUGGAUGUGAAGGUAUAACAAGAACUGGACUAUUUCACUGGAGGAAGUGCUAUUAUGGAUUAUGCACUGGUAUUUUCAUCAGAAGUGACAGUGUAGAGUUAAAAUGCCUUUCAAAAGCACAGAUUCUUGCUUCACAAAAUGUCAUUCGAUAGAUUGGAGUUGCAUGGUACAGCUUGUGGAUUAUUGUGAUGUUUUUACCAGCUUUUUGGAAUCUCAUUCUCAUUGAAUGAUGAACAAACUCAUCACGGGUGGUCUGAGGGUGAGUACAUUUUCAUCAGAUCUUCAUUCUGUGAUUAACUGUUCCUUAAAUUGUUUACUCACCCUUGAGUAGUUCCACAAAGGAAGAUGUUUUUAAAGAAAGUUUAUAACCAGGCUAUUAUUGGUCACCAUUGACUUCCAUAGUAUUUUUUUUCCUACUAUGGAAGUCAAUGGUAACCCAAAACAGUUUUGGGUUAACUAUCCCUUUAAUGUGAUGAACUAAUGUAACGGAUGAAAAGCAACCCUAGUGAAUAAAUAUUAAAACACAUUUAUACAUUAAAAUACACAUAUACUACUACAAAUACCUUUAUAUAUGUAUGUGCUUAUUUAAAAUACCCUGCGAUUGUAGUUUUGUCACAAAACUGGUAUACUUCAGGUCUGCUAAAUUGGAACAACCAAUGUUGUACUUUAUAUAUAAAAUUAUAUAGGCAUGAUUUUUAUACAUUUUUGGUGCCAAGGGAAACAUGCACUUUGACAGUUGCAUAAGACUUAGCUCUGCUCAUGCACAGAGGGCUCUUUUAGACACCUAAGAGGAGUUUUGAAUGCAUUCAGGUCAUCUGAUACCAGACCCUUUGUUUUGCCACAAAGCACGUCUUAAUUCACUCUUCUGCAUUUUUGGCAGAGCACAAGAACCGUUGCGCAUUACUGCCUUGAAGGUUCAUGCAAACCGCCUUAAAACUUUGCAGAUCUGAUUGCAUACACAUUUUGUCCUAAUAGAGUAAUUGUCCUCUCAUCCUGGAAAGUAACAAGCAGAGAGGAGUCUCAUUUUUCAUUUGGUGCGGUGGGAGGGAGUGCGAGAGAACCGUAUACAGUCAGCGGCCUCCAGGAAAGACUAUGAAACAUCCUUUAGCGAAGACACAAAUAACUCCAAUUGAAACCAAUUAAAGCACAUGGGAUCCAGAGGCUGAGAUAAGAGCAGGCUGUUUAUGAGAAUGUGAGUGUAGUUGUGUGGGUGAGAGUGAGUGUGUGUGUGAAUGCGAGCUUGUGUACAUGAGAGAUUAAUUGAGCUGUUCACAAAUGUGCUGGGUUAAUGAAAUGGCAGUUGACAGUGACAGUGCCACACAGGAAGUGCUGUAACAAGGCUUUAUCUCUGUCACACAUGCACAGAAAGUAGCGCAGCUCAUUAUGUAGGUCACAAGUCAAUUUGAUAAUAUACUUUUCUGAGGGGAUAAAAUGCUACUCUAAAGAAGUGUCAGGGCAUGAAAAGUUUACGAGCAGCCACUACCCAGAUAAAAGCACAUUAUGUUUCUCAUUAUUGCAAUAUAUAUAAUUUAGACUGGUGACUUUUUCCGGUACGGUGGCAAGGGCAGUUUGCCCUUAGGUCAGGCACACACUCGCACAACACGCACGUUUUGCUUAUUCAUGCAGGAUGAGAAGAUAUGAAUUCAUUUGCUAUUUUUAGCUUGCUUAUAUAGUGAGUCUGCACGCUUUGGAAAGGCAGAGGACAUUUGGCAAGUCAAGCAGAGAACAAAUUUGGCAAAUCAUGUAGAAAAGGCAGACGUAACCAACGUAGAUGAACAAAUCGUGCACAUUAAACAUGCGGUCUCACCGGACUCACUCAUUUCGCUUGAGCGGUUGCUUAGAUGAAGCAUUUAAAAAGGAAAGAUAAAAUUAUGUGAAUGAAAUUGUGUAAAUAAAAAAAAAACCAUUUACUCAUCUAUCGUUCCUUUCCACAAUUGGUGUAAAACACAAAGCUGUUCUUCAAAUAAGUAAGUCAGAGGUGACCAGGGAUUGUCGAGAUCCAUCAUGACGAAAAACUCUGUAAUGGCAGCUUUUUGCAAGCUGUGUCUCAAGUUGUACGCAGCAGUAUGAUUUGAAUAUGCAUAUGUUCAUUAAUGAGGAGCAGUUUGAAUGUGAGCAUAAGGGGAAGAUUUUCAGUCAAUAACAAUAACAUCAGGUCCGCAAGCCAGGAUUCAGUCUCAGGACGUCUGCAGUGUAACAGCGAUAUACGUCACAUGGACUAUUUUAGCAAUGGUCUUAAUAACUUACAGUGUGCUUUUGAACGUGGUAGUUGCUUUGCUGUUUAUGCAGGGUCAGAAAGCUCUCGAAUUUCAUUAUAAAUAUUUAAAUUUGUGUUCCGAAGAUGAAUAAUGGUGUUAUUGGUUUGGAACGACAUGAGGUUGUAUAAUUAAUUACAGACUUUUCAUAUUGGGGUGAAGAAUCCCUUUAAAUAUACAGUUUUCAGACGUAAAAAAUAACAAGUGAUCUUAUAAUUUACAAUUCUUGUGUAUUGUACUAUUUUAGUGUCACUUGUUUAAACUGUGACAUACGGUAUAUAUUUUCAGCGAAGUCCUGGAAACCGCAGCCAUCCCCCCCCCCCAUAAAUGUCACACAUUAUUUACAAUGCAGAAAUGAAAAAACACCCCAGUCAAAAGUGCAGACUACACAGAUGGCUAUUAAUUCACAGUGAGCCAGUGUUUGUGCUUUGGAUGCCAGUUUUGCUCAGAACACUAAUGAAUUUCAAUGAAAUGAUUGUGAAUCUGCCUCGAAAACAAGCAUCGGGAGCUGCCGUCAUAUCGGUCGGCGUAUCUGUAACUUAUUGUUCAUUCAGCUUGCGUCCCGCAGCAGCUGGAUCCCCAUCUGCAUGUAAACACGAAGACCUCGGCAGAGAUUGCUGGGAGGUGUCUUCAUAACGUGGCUCUAUAUGUGGUUUUAUAGUGCAUUAGGUGCCGCUUCCUUUCCAUUAUGACAGCGUGAGUUGCUGCCAGCAGCGCUCAUGCAAUUACUGCCAUGAUCGAAUGUACUGUCCCCUGAGUGGAACAAAACAAGCAGUCGAGCUCUCAUCUGUCUAGCAGAAGGGUCUUGUAACACUAAUUACACAUAAUGUUCUUUUUGGUUGUGAUUACAACAAAAAAAGAAAAAAAAAAUGACCAGGCUUGUUUUUCACUGUGGUGGCAAGGUAGCAUGUGACGAAGUGGCUUUUGUCCAUCACUGUGUCUCAGCAGCUUGCUAUUCCACGAAUAUACAGGAAGCUAGAAAAGCAGAUGGUGUUUUGUACUGACGAGCCCUAACGCGAUUCACCUGUUAGUAUCUGUGUGCUGGUUGGUGGGACGGCAGGAGAAGAUAUUAGUGGCCUGGUGAGAAGUUCUUUAACACCUAUGAUGUCACACACGGAUCCUGUUUUAAAUUUAGAGUGAGCCAUGCAAAGUUUCCUAUAACAUCUCUUACCGGAAAGAUCUGGGUUUAUGAGAGAGCCAUUGAAAACGAAAGGGAGAGGCUUACCAUCUCGUUCUCAGAUAGACAAGCAGAUUAAAUGGACAAAGAGACAAAGGGAAUUGUGUCAGGGAGGGGAGUGUAACAGUGAGCGCGCAGUGUGCUGAAAAUCUUAAGCGUGUCCUACUACACGUAAGCAGUGGUGUUAAAGUACUGUAUACUCAGGGGACGUGGUCAUGGGGGAUAUUUAUGGAAACCCUUCUCACUGUCAGUUGAGAGGAGAGAAUCUUUGAAGUGACGUCUUUUUAUCUGUGUAAAAGGCCAGGGAGAUGAAUGAAGCGAUUCGUUUUUAGGAGGGCCUAUGCCCCUAAGCAUCAGCUCAGCGGUUUCCUUCUUACACCACUGGGAAACUACUGAACUUGUGUUAUGCAAGAACAGUAUGUUAAGGUUCAAAAGCUGUUUUUUUUCUGAAGUAAGAUUUAUCUGAUUGAUAUUGCGUUUGAAUAUUUUGUUCAAAUUAUUACUACACAUCAUAAACAACACCAUUCAAAAGAUUGUGGACAGAAUUAUUUGUAAAGUGCCCUUAUUAUGAAAAUUGUUAAAACUGUUCAUGAAAAGGUUCAUUUAGUUUUGGGAGUCCCUAAUAGUUUGACAUGCAUGAAAGGUCAGAAGAGUCCAAGGGCCCGUAGGUCUCAUUUUAUUUUAUUUAAGUGCUGUUACCGGGGAAAUUUAUUUUACAUUUGUAAAAAGGUUUUUACAAAUUUGCACAUUCAUUCAGACCAACGCAGAAAGACCAACAAUGAAACAGCUUGGUAUUCAUUUUAAAAACAACACGUUUCAAUGAUUCAGAGUCAACUUUCUUUCUUUCUUUCUUUCUUUCUUUCUUUCUUUCUUUCUCUCUCUCUCUCUCUCUGAACUUUAGACACGGUGCAUUUUCACUUAGAGUUGUUACACAUUGCAUGGCCAUUUUCUAAAAUCCAUAACAGUGGCACUUUAAAAUGAUUUUGAAAGCAGUGAAGCAUUUUUUGAUUUAAAAAAAAAAAAAUGUAUUUGUAAUGUGUUUUUGCUUCUGACAUCAAAACUCAAUUUUCAACAUCCAUUACUCCAGUCUUCAGUGUCACAUGAUCUUUCAGAAAUCAUUCUAAUAUACUGAUUCGGUACUCAAAAAAAACUUAUUAAUAAUAUCCUAGGUGAAAAUAGUUGUGCUGCUUAAUAUUCUUACAUUGUUUUUUAAUGAUUUGUUUUUUAAAUAGAAAUGUCAAAAGAGCAGCAUUUAUUUGAAAACAAAAUCUUUUGUAACAAAGUAAAAGUCUUAACCUAAAGAACUAAAUGCAUCCUUGGUGAAGAAGCAUUCAUUUCUUUUAAAAAGUUUUUGCUCUGUCAACAAAUAAAGCGACAACAUUAGUAACUGUUUCAUUUCUCAAAGCAACAUGCAAUUAGUGGCAUUUCAUUCCUUAAUGAAUCAGUUGAGAGAAUGAUUCAUUGAUUUGCUUUUAAAGAUUGUAUUCAAAGAAGGAAUCAAUGCACCAAAGUUCCUAAAUGAAUCUAUGAAUUUAGUGAUUCAGUGACUCGUUUACAAAGAAAAAAACUUGUAAAAUCCCCAACAUACUACCUAAGUGUUUUUACCUUAAAUUUGUGUGUAUUCGUAAAAAUUGUUUAUAUUUCAGUGAAGUGAAAAAUCGACCAUGCAGCGUACGACAUAAUUCACUGGACACAUUUGCUCAUGUUUGCCUCAUGAGUAAAUGUUACUAGGGUAUAACAACAAGGGAAAGCCUUACCGUGAGCGUCCCAUGGGUCUGUUUCUUUUGGCUUGUCACCAGACAAGGCCAGCAUGUGACUCUUGGGACAAAGAUCCCAGAUUGGAAAGAACAGACUGUUUCAGUAACAUGGGAAAGUCAUGCGGCACACAAAAAGUACAGGAGUCAAAUCCCACAAAAAGUAUUUAAAAAACACACUAAUCACUUCAUGACAGCGUAGUAUAAAUUCAGCGAUGAAAUGACGAGGAAGGCACGUGUGGCUCUGCGUCGGUUCAAGAAUCACUCACAAGAGCCAUAUUUUGUUUUUCAUUCCCUUCAUUUGUGCGUCACUGAGCCACGAGGGCCUGAGGUGAGACGGUCUGCCAUGGACGUAUGCGUUGGUGCAUGACAGCACCAAGAAAUCAUUUAGGCAAAGCAGACAACUCACAUGUUGACUGGAAUGUUUCGGGUUUUUCAUUGUUGUGGUUGUGAUUUGAUCUCGGCCAUUGUGUUGAGGAAAGAAUGGGUAGUGGAUGUGUUAUUCAUUCUGUGUCACACUGACUGCAGCAUGAGCUACUGAAUCAUCCCUUUAAGCCAGCGCUUCUAUGCUUUAUUUCUUUUUGCUUUGAUAUGCUGAAGUCCCAGUGCCUGUGAUAUUUUCACCACUGUAAUAAUUCCCUAUGAAGCGAGAGAGAGAGAGAGAGAGAGAGAGAGAGAGAGAGAGAGAAAGUAAGCAGGGAAUUUUUUUGCUGCAACAGCUGACCCAAAAGAAUGUGAUUAUGCAAUUCAGGUUUUUUAACAUGCAUAUGUAUUUGCAGACCGUAACAAAUUAACGUACAAGCCUUACCUUUCCAUUCAACAACAAAAAUGCAUGGUUAUUAUAACGCCAAGCUCCAAAAGAGUAUUAUAAAAGUAUUCCAUACGUACUUAUGUUCAAGUCUUUCAAAGUCAGCUUUGUGUGAGGAACAGACCAUGUUUUUAUUUACUGAACAUUUAAUUAAUAGACUACAAAAGUUGUAUGGGCUGCCUGCUAAAAUGUCAUUUAACACCAACGACAGUAAUAUAAUAUAAUAUGUACUUAAUAUUACUAUUAUUAUUAUUAAGUUAAAUAUAUAUAAAUAAAUAAAUAAAUGUAAAUAAUUCAUAGUUUAACAUGAAUUAAAAGCAAUCUUCAGCAGUGUAUAUCAUUUUUAUUGUAUUUUAUAGCAAUGAAGUGUCACCAUUGGCCCCGGGUCCAGUGUGCACCACCCUCUGGUGACCCAGUUUCUUUCUUACUCUUGAUUGUUUGAUUUCUUCCCGUGCGUCUUGAGUUCUUCUUUCAUCAUGUUCUGUAUUUAAAGUGCGUCCUACCCUGUGUCUGGUGUCUGUCGUUACUUGUCUUUUUGUUUGCUGUGAUCCAUGUAUUUUAAUUAAUUAUUUGGCUGAUUAAAAUACUCUUGUUUUUGUACUCCGCGACUCCUGCGUUGUCCUUGUAGUGCGAACGUCACACUAAGUAGUACUUAUUUACACUGUCUUUUUUAAUUAAUAUUCAUAUUAUCAAAUAUCCAAUUGAAUUAUUUCUGUUUUAAAGAAUUACAUUUUUUUUUCAAAGUUGUAAAUGAUACUAUUUAUUGGUCUUCUUUCUGUUUUGUAUUCUUUUAAACAUGAUGGAUAUAGUACAGGCUUAAUGUACUUUAAUAAACUCAGAAGAAGCAGGUCAUGAUGAAGAAGAGAAGUUUCCAUGAGCCAGCUAGACGGCAGUAUUUAUUUGAGGUUAUGGAGCUGAGCACACAUGCACACGCAUAAUCAGUCACAGUUCAUUUCAUUCCCUUUAUCAGUCUGCACACAUUUUAUAACUGAUGCUGAAGCGCAGACAGAUUUGUUCCAGCUUUCCACACAGAGAAACAGAUCUCUUGACACAACAGAAUCUGCGAGACUUUUUAACACUGUAUCCCCCCCAGAAGUUUCCAAAACACACUCCGAGGCAGAGAAGAGAGACACACAGCGAUCAGAGAGUUUGUGUUAAGUCAGCUUUCAUUUAUUGGUUUUCAUCUUUCAUCAGUCUAGGGUGGAUCUGAGGUGUCCCACAAUGCAUUCACAGAGAUACAGCAAGAUCUAAGAGAAAGAAUUAAAGUUUGGGGUUACUCACCGACUCUUUCAUGUGCUACAUUGAGACAAACAACUAUCAGAGCAGUUUGAGAUUUAGCUUCGGUGAAACGCAAUCCUCUACAACACUGCAGGGAAUGAAUAGUUUGCUGGAACAUUUACUUCAGGAUGACAACAAGCCUAGAGAUCUGGCAGAGAGUCUUAAGUGAGUAAUUGUCAGCUGACAAAUUUUCAGUUUGAAGAAUCUUUGCUUUGGUUCUGUGUGUACUGUAUAUCCAGAUCAACGAAUAGGCUCUAUGCAUUAGGUUUGUGAUCGAAAACAUAGAGUCACGGUUUUUGUUUUCAGCGUCUUGGAAGCACAAAUGCAAAUGCAAACGCCAGUGGAAAAAGUGACCUUUCAGUGUGUUUUGUCUGUGUCCCUCCUUUUGUGUCUUUUGCUUCACUUGACCAGAUUUGUACAACAAACAGUAACCUUUUCAGCCCAUUCAUUCACUGUGUACUUGCCACGAAGUAGUGUUUUGUUUACCACACACUCACAGCGCACAAAGACCACUGACAGGAAGAACGGAAGCACGCAUCUUUGCAGCCUGUAAACGGCUGCAGCCGCGAGGUUGAAGUCAUUUCCCUGUGAGGAGCGUGGGGUCUCUGGAGGGGAGCAGCGCUAAUGAGACCUGAUCUGUGGCUUGUUGCUUUGUGGCUCAUCAGACGCAUUCAUCACUCUGUUUGAUAUCAAACUCCAUGACAGCUGACAUUUUGUAACUGUUUCAAUGCCCCAUGAAUGGCAGCAUGUGAAAAAAUCCGCUCUGCUUUUGCUGCCGCUAAAUGUCUUUGGUCGCCAUGGAGAUGUGGACCACAGCACCUUUACAAAGCAGCUGCCUGCAGUGCCUCAGCAAUAAUAGAGGUGUGUUUAUUGAUCAGGCAAGAUCUACGGAGGAUCAUGGUCAUUUGAUUCUGUACAUCACAAGUUCAGCUGGAGGAAUACUGAAACAGGCCUGCAAAUGUUCAGGCAAUAACUCUCAUCUGUAUCUGCAGAGGGGAUUAUGAAACUCUACUAAUGAAUAACCAAAUACCUGGUCUCAUAAAAAUACAUACCUCUGCACUUUCUGUUUGUAGGUACCUUACUGCAUGUUUCGCUGCGGUUUCAAAGUUAAAAGUCCACUGAGUGGCGCUGAAACACAGGUUCAAUACGUUAACCCUGGCGCGUUAUUAUUAUGCUGAUAUUAGGUACAUAUUGCCUUGUUUUUAUUACAUUAAAUAUCCAAGAAAUGUCAAUAAAAGUUAAUGCUCUAUCAUGUUGGAGAUAUGCCCUACAAGUUCAGUUUUCAAAUCUUCAAAUCUAAUUGUGCGAAAAUUACGCUUUACUAAUCAAAACUAGGUAAAAUAAUAGAAUAGAAUAGAAUAUUUAGAAUAGGGAUUACUCUUCAUUCAAUUUAAAGAAGAUAUUUAGUCAAGAUCAGCAAUUUUCUUUUGUUUUUUAAUUAAAUUUAAUUAAUGACACAGAUAGUGACAGGUGUAGGCUGCUGUCACUUUAAGACUGGAUGCACAGAUCCGAUAUAUUAUUGUACAUGCAUUAGAGUUGCGCAAUAAAAAGUCACAAUUUCAGAAGACUGGUACAAAACGAACUAGAAACUUAAGUGCACCUUCUUGAAUUUGGCUGAUCUAAACAUAUUCCUCUAAAAGAGGAAGUGCAUUUCAUGAAGAAGACCAGGGAGGAUGUGGUCAAGUUUUAAAAUACCUCACACGCCAAAGUGAGAUACUCGGGUUUAUCUUCACCCAGAGCUGUUUACCAUUGCAACAUGUCUGCAAACUCAUCGCUGCAGUGAGGGCCUGUCCCUGCUCCACAGCUCUGCCAUAACCAGACCUUUGCUCUCACAGACAGUUUAAUGAGAGCUGGCAGCAUCGUCAGCAUUCUGAACAUUUCUGUGACCUUGACUCAGAACAAGGCCUACGGAGCAGUGGGUCAGGAUGGAUGAUUCUGCUUAUCAUCUGGAGAUGUUUAUUUACAUUCCUCUAAAGCAGCGGUGUGCGUCUGAUGGUUGACGUCACAGUGCCUACGAUCAGUGGAGUUCAGAGUGGGAACAACCAGAUGAAGACGGCAGAUGUAUACCCUAUCUCUUUUGUUAAUUUAUAGAGCUUCUUCAGCUCAUCAUAACAUGUAUAAACUGUUGUAGCAUGCCGGCCAUGUGAUAUACGAGAGGAAGAAUGGAGAUAACUCAUUGUUUACUGUAAUGAUGGGGCUUAGACACUUUUGCUAGCAAUUACAUGAUUUAUGAUAUAUGUGCAUGGGUUUUUUCACUAGUUAUGUCACUAGGUUUGGGUUACUACGGUGAUCAAGAUUAAUUCCACAUGCUUUCUUUUUUAAUAUUCAUCAUAUAACUCAUUUAUCUGAUAACGUAUCCUUUGGUAUUAUAACAGUUAAUUUUAUGUCUAUCUUUAUCUAUUGUUUGAUAUUUUUAACAAUUUUUUUCAAUUAUUUAUUUUAUUUAUUUAUUUUUAUUACUAUUUAUUUUCUGGUUUGUUUAAACAUAUUAAAAUAAAAAUAAUUAAAUACGGCUUGGUUAAAUACAAACCUUUUUAUUUAAUUCUUUGUUAAUUUCUUUAUUAAUGCCACCAUCUUUAUUUUCAAGAUUGUCUGAAAAAUAAUUAAAUGCUAAGUUUUUUUUUUUUUAAUGUAAUGUGAUUAAUUUCAUUUAAUUUAAUUUUUAGUACAAUUAUAGUGGCACUGCUAGGUUAAACUCUUUAUUCCCCCUUUUUAAAAUUAUUUUAAAUUUUCUUUAUUAAUUUCAACUCAUUUAUUUUGUAGAUUGUCUGGAACAAAAUAAAUACAUAAAUAUAUAUAUACAAUUACAGUGCGCUGCUUGGUCAAAUGCAAACUGAAACUCCUCCUUCCCCUCUGUAAGCACUCUUUCAUUUUGUCAAAGUGCUGUGCAGUAAAGCAAACAUUUCUGUUGA